rnacentral:lncRNA from 1 species
CUAUUUUUCUAAGAUACGACAACCAGAAGAUCAUAUUUCCGAACAGCGUUCUCGCAACAAAGGCUAUCCACAACUUCUAUCGUAGUCCUGACAUGGGAGAUGGUAUAGAAUUCUGUCUUCACAUAUCUACUCCACCUGAGAAAAUAGCUAUCAUGAGACAAAGAAUAAUAAGGUAUGUAGUUACUAGUCUUGAAUUACCAAUUACCGAAUGGCUCAAAACUUACGCUGAUAGGUUAACGCAAAUUUAUAUUAGGUUCGUCAAACUAAUUCAAACGCACUCUCAUUUCUUUGACGUCUCCAUCCUUAUUUUAUUAUUAUUUUGUUUAUGUCUUUCCAGUUACAUUGAGGGCAAGAAAGAGCAUUGGUGUCCUGCGCCAAUGAUUGUCCUAAAGGAUGUAGAAGAGUUAAAUAGAAUGAGAAUAGCAAUAUGGCUUACUCAUAGAAUGAACCAUCAAGACAUGGGGGAGAGGUGGACAAGGAGAGCUCUUUUGGUCGAAGAACUUGUUAAAAUUUUCCAAGAGCUCGAUUUGCAAUACCGUCUCCUACCACUUGAUAUCAAUGUUCGCUCCUUGCCUCCUGUGAA